GACGAACGCUGGCGGCGUGCUUAACACAUGCAAGUCGAACGGAAAGGCCCUGCUUUUGUGGGGUGCUCGAGUGGCGAACGGGUGAGUAACACGUGAGUAACCUGCCCUUGACUUUGGGAUAACUUCAGGAAACUGGGGCUAAUACCGGAUAGGAGCUCCUGCUGCAUGGUGGGGGUUGGAAAGUUUCGGCGGUUGGGGAUGGACUCGCGGCUUAUCAGCUUGUUGGUGGGGUAGUGGCUUACCAAGGCUUUGACGGGUAGCCGGCCUGAGAGGGUGACCGGCCACAUUGGGACUGAGAUACGGCCCAGACUCGUACGGGAGGCAGCAGUGGGGAAUAUUGCACAAUGGGCGGAAGCCUGAUGCAGCAGCGCCGCGUGCGGGAUGACGGCCUUCGGGUUGUAAACCGCUUUCGCCUGUGACGAAGCGUGAGUGACGGUAAUGGGUAAAGAAGCACCGGCUAACUACGUG
rnacentral:rRNA from 1 species